AGUCUAUUAAAUGUGGUCUGGAAUGAAUGGUUUGACGAGGUGCAUCUUUUUUAAUCUUAUAGUUGAAUUUUAAUUAUUAGUGAAAAUGCUAAUGUGUUUUAGAGGGACGAGAAGACCCUAUAGAGCUUUAUAUAUAAUUAAAAACUUAGUAGUAUUUACUUUUUUGAUUUAUAUUUUGUUGGGGCGACAAUAAAUAGAAACAUUUAUGAAAUUGUCUAUUAUUAUAGGAUUUUUGAUCCAUUAUUAAUGAUUAUUAGACUAAGUUACCUUAGGGAUAACAGCGUAAUUUUAUUUUAGAGUUCUUAUCGAUAAUAAAGUUUGCGACCUCGAUGUUGGAUUAGGAUUCUUUUAAGGUGCAGCAGUUUUAAAAAGUAGUCUGUUCGACUAUUAAAAUCCUACAUGAUCUGAGUUCAAACCGGAGA
rnacentral:rRNA from 1 species